AAUAUUUCGCAAUGGAGGGAACUCUGACGCAACGACGUCGCGUGAGCGAAGACGGNCUNNGGAUCNUNAAGCUCUGUCUUUGGNNNNNACAGAAAUGACGGUACCCAAUGAGGAAGCCCCGGCUAACUACGUGCCAGCAGCCGCGGUAACACGUAGGGGGCAAGCGUUGUCCGGAAUUACUGGGCGUAAAGGGUGCGUAGGCGGCAUAUUAAGUCAGGUGUGAAACCCCACGGCUCAACUGUGGGCUUGCACAUGAAACUGGUAUGCUUGAGUACAGGAGAGGAAAGCGGAAUUCCUAGUGUAGUGGUGAAAUGCGUAGAUAUUAGGAAGAACACCAGUGGCGAAGGCGGCUUUCUGGACUGUAACUGACGCUGAGGCACGAAAGCGUGGGGAGCAAACA
rnacentral:rRNA from 1 species